UACAGAGGUCUCAAGCGUUGUUCGGAUUCAUUGGGCGUAAAGGGUGCGUAGGUGGCGCGGUAAGUCGGGGUGUGAAAUUCGAUCGCUUAACUCCGAAACUGCAUUCGAUACUGCCGUGCUUGAGGACUGGAGAGGAGACUGGAAUUUACGGUGUAGCGUGAAAUGCGUAGAUAUCGUAAGGAAGACCAGUGGCGAAGGCGGGUCUCUGGACAGUUCCUGACGCUGAGGCACGAAGGUCAGGGGAGCAAACGGGGAUUAGA
rnacentral:rRNA from 1 species